CAUGAGUAUUUGGGAUACUUUAAUUCCACAAACAUCCUCGGGAACCAAAAGAAUCUCGUUUACGUGCUUGGAAAAGAUGACCGAAAGGGGUUGAGAAUCCCACAGUGUGAAUCCUUUUGUUUUAAGUGCCUCAAAUCCUCCCAGCUGAAAAAGACUGUUAUGUGAAAUGAGAAGCCAGUCUCCCAAGAAGAUGCUACAAAAGAUGAAGUGGGACAGCUCCACAGUGAAUAUAAAUCACCAUAUGAUGAUUUACACCAGCAGAGGAUCUGGCUCUGAAAUGAG